rnacentral:rRNA from 1 species
GACGAACGCUGGCGGCGUGCCUAAUACAUGCAAGUUGAGCGCUGAAGGUUGGUACUUGUACCAACUGGAUGAGCAGCGAACGGGUGAGUAACGCGUGGGGAAUCUGCCUUUGAGCGGGGGACAACAUUUGGAAACGAAUGCUAAUACCGCAUAAAAACUUUAAACACAAGUUUUAAGUUUGAAAGAUGCAAUUGCAUCACUCAAAGAUGAUCCCGCGUUGUAUUAGCUAGUUGGUGAGGUAAAGGCUCACCAAGGCGAUGAUACAUAGCCGACCUGAGAGGGUGAUCGGCCACAUUGGGACUGAGACACGGCCCAAACUCCUACGGGAGGCAGCAGGAGGGAAUCUUCGGCAAUGGACGAAAGUCUGACCGAGCAACGCCGCGUGAGUGAAGAAGGUUUUCGGAUCGUAAAACUCUGUUGGUAGAGAAGAACGUUGGUGAGAGUGGAAAGCUCAUCAAGUGACGGUAACUACCCAGAAAGGGACGGCUAGCCACGUG